rnacentral:lncRNA from 1 species
GUCGCAAUGGUUGAUAUAAAGAAAAUUUUCGACUCAAUUAACAGAAAUGCACUGUGGUAUAAGUUAUAUAAACUUGGAAUAUCGGGGGAAAUACUACGAAUGUUGAGGGCUAUGUAUACAGAGAAAUAUGUAUGUCUACAACGCACGUAUCAAGUACAUUUGUACAAGGACGGACACUUUAUGUUAAGUAACCUCGGCUCUCCUCGUCGUUUUUUUGUACAACAGGGAUAUUCUACAUGCUACGGAAGAAUAAUUCCACAGGGAUCAGUUAUAUUUCAACAAGGACUCUACAUCAAAAGUUUGUAUGGAAAAAUAGUUUUGAAAAAGAAAAAAAAACUCUAUGCGGAGAUGAAGGUUUUAAGCGUAAACUAAUCAAAAUUAUUGUUUGACAUUGAGCAAAAAAUAACACAUCCCUCCACAUUAGUUCGGAACUGAAUCAAUAAACGGAAUUGAAUCACUAAACAAGACUUGGUGUUGGGGACCGUGAGGGAUAGUGCACAUUUAAUUACGAUUCACGAACAAAUCCAAUCAAACUGAGUCUAUUUUUAGUUGCUUGGCUGCGUUCUUUGCUACCAAAGGAACCGAUUUUCUCCCAUUUUUUAAACUACCAGAACAGCAGUCUUUAAAUGUCAUGUGGCGGCUGUAAAAUGUCUACCCGUACUUGGACUCAGUGUUGUUAUAGUUAUUUGGUCCUUUGGGAUCAUUUAUUUUGGGAUCAAUGACUUUUUCAUUGGCACUAUAAUAGAGUUCCGCCUAAGCCGG